rnacentral:rRNA from 1 species
UACGUAGGGGGGCAAGCGUUGUCCGGAAUUAUUGGGCGUAAAGCGCGCGCAGGCGGUUCUUUUAAGUCUGGUGUUUAAACCCGAGGCUCAACUUCGGGUCGCACUGGAAACUGGGGAACUUGAGUGCAGAAGAGGAGAGUGGAAUUCCACGUGUAGCGGUGAAAUGCGUAGAUAUGUGGAGGAACACCAGUGGCGAAGGCGACUCUCUGGGCUGUAACUGACGCUGAGGCGCGAAAGCGUGGGGAGCAAACAGG